rnacentral:rRNA from 1 species
GACGAACGCUGGCGGCGUGCUUAACACAUGCAAGUCGAACGGAAAGUCCUUUUCGGAGGUACUCGAGUGGCGUACGGGUGCGUAACACGUGGGUGAUCUGCCCUGCACUCUGGGAUAAGGCUGCGAAACUGGGUCUAAUUCUGGAUACGACCGCUCUUUCGUGUGUGUGGUGGCAAGUUUUUUCGGUGUUGGUUGGGCCCGCGGCCUAUCAGCUUGUUGUGGGGGUAAUGGACUACCAAGGCGGCGACGGGUAGCCAGACUGCGAGGUUGCUCGGCCACAUUGGGACUGAGAGACGGCCCAGGCUCCGACGGGAGGGAGCAGGGGGGAAGAUUGCACAAGGGGCGCAAGCCUGAUGCAGAGACGCCGCGGGGGGGAGGACGGUCUUCGGGUUGGAAAAUCAAUUCGCCAGGGACGAAGCGUUUUGUGACGGUACCUGGAGAAGAAGCACCGGCUAACUACGUG